CAUUACAAUAACGUAUGCAACCAUUUAAAUAUAGUGACCAAAAACCAGUCCACAAUGUAGUGUAGUGUCUCCAGGUCCCAUACUCAAUAUUAAAAGUCCUGUCUGACCUGAGGUUAUUGGCUGUUGUUAAGGACAUUUGCCCUCAGUUUAUACAUGGGCAUUAUCUAAGAAGAAUGUCACACCCUGGAAGACAGACAUGAAAG